ACCUUGACACUUUAAGCGGCGCUUCAACCAAACUGGAGGUGUUCACAUUUACCAGAAGAUGGAAGGCUGUGAGUGGGAUGAUGAGACUGGAGAUGUUAAUGGUUAUUUUCAGUUUGGUUAUGAUGGAGAAGACUUCAUAGCUCUGGACCUGAAGACAUGGACGUGGGUCGCUCCACAACAACAGGCUGUCUUCAUCAAACAGGAGUGGGAUAAUAACAAAGCUGAGUUAGAGUAUCUUAAGUACUACUUCAACAAUGAGUGUCUUGACUUGCUCAAGAAGUUUGUGAACUAUGGGAGGAGCUCUCUGAUGAGAACAGACCUCCCCACAGUGUCUCUCCUCCAGAAGACUCCCUCCUC